CUACGGGGUGCUGCAGUGGGGAAUAUUGCACAAUGGAGGAAACUCUGAUGCAGCAACGCCGCGUGGAGGAUGACACUUUUCGGAGCGUAAACUCCUUUUAUAUAGGAAGAAGAUGACGGUACUAUAUGAAUAAGCGCCGGCUAACUCCGUGCCAGCAGCCGCGGUAAUACGGAGGGCGCAAGCGUUACUCGGAAUCACUGGGCGUAAAGAGCGUGUAGGCGGAUUAAAAAGUCAGAAGUGAAAUCCUAUAGCUUAACUAUAGAACUGCUUCUGAAACUCUUAAUCUAGAAUAUGGGAGAGGUAGAUGGAAUUUCUGGUGUAGGGGUAAAAUCCGUAGAGAUCAGAAGGAAUACCGAUUGCGAAGGCGAUCUACUAGAACAUUAUUGACGCUGAGACGCGAAAGCGUGGGGAGCAAACGGGAUUAGAUACCCCGGUAGUC
rnacentral:rRNA from 1 species